GCGCAGACUCAUGCACGUCGAGCGGUAAGCGCCCUUUCGGGGGUACACGAGCGGCGAACGGGUGAGUAACACGUGGGUGACCUGCCCUCAGCUCUGGGAUAAGCCCGGGAAACUGGGUCUAAUACCGGAUAUGACUCCAUGACGCAUGUUGUGGGGUGGAAAGCCUUGUGCGGCUGAGGAUGGGCCCGCGGCCUAUCAGCUUGUUGGUGGGGUGAUGGCCUACCAAGGCGACGACGGGUAGCCGGCCUGAGAGGGCGACCGGCCACACUGGGACUGAGACACGGCCCAGACUCCUACGGGAGGCAGCAGUGGGGAAUCUUGCGCAAUGGGCGAAAGCCUGACGCAGCGACGCCGCGUGAGGGAUGACGGCCUUCGGGUUGUAAACCUCUUUCAGCUCCGACGAAGCGGAAGUGACGGUAGGAGCAGAAGAAGCACCGGCCAACUACGUGCCAGCAGCCGCGGUAAUACGUAGGGUGCAAGCGUUGUCCGGAAUUAUUGGGCGUAAAGAGCUCGUAGGCGGUCUGUCGCGUCGGCUGUGAAAACUCGGGGCUCAACUCCGAGCUUGCAGUCAAUACGGGCAGGCUAGAGUUCGGCAGGGGAGACUGGAAUUCCUGGUGUAGCGGUGAAAUGCGCAGAUAUCAGGAGGAACACCGGUGGCGAAGGCGGGUCUCUGGGCCGAUACUGACUCUGAGGAGCGAAAGCGUGGUGAGCGAACAGGAUUAGAUACCCUGGUAGUCCACGCCUUUAUUCG
rnacentral:rRNA from 1 species